ensembl:snoRNA Gm23442 small nucleolar RNA SNORA38
UCCUCCUACAAAGGCGUGUUUUUGGUUCCCUGUCCUUGGACACGUAAGAAUCGGAGGCAAAGUAAUGUGGUGGGUUUGGAAAGGUCUGGGACCAGCUUGCCCCCCCGCAGGCUCAGGAUCAACCAUCCCACAGAGGAGAUCGAU